rnacentral:rRNA from 1 species
AGAUUGAACGCUGGCGGCAUGCCUAACACAUGCAAGUCGAACGGGAGUAGCAAUACUCUAGUGGCGGACGGGUGAGGAAUACGUAGGAAUUUGCCCUUAAGUGGGGGAUAACCCGGGGAAACCCGGAUUAAUACCGCAUGACCUCGAAAGAGCAAAGUGGGGGAUCGCAAGACCUCACGCUUUUGGAGAAGCCUACGUCGCAUUAGCUAGUUGGUGAGGUAAUGGCUCACCAAGGCGACGAUCCGUAACUGGUCUGAGAGGAUGAUCAGUCACACCGGAACUGAGACACGGUCCGGACUCCUACGGGAGCAGCAGUGGGGAAUAUUGGACAA